AGAGUUUGAUCCUGGCUCAGGAUGAACGCUGGCGGCGUGCUUAACACAUGCAAGUCGAACGAAGCAUUUGCGACAGAUUUCUUCGGAUUGAAGUUGCUUAUGACUGAGUGGCGGACGGGUGAGUAACGCGUGGGUAACCUGCCUCAUACAGGGGGAUAACAGUUAGAAAUGACUGCUAAUACCGCAUAAGCGCACAGUACCGCAUGGUACAGUGUGAAAAACUCCGGUGGUAUGAGAUGGACCCGCGUCUGAUUAGCUAGUUGGUGGGGUAACGGCCCACCAAGGCGACGAUCAGUAGCCGACCUGAGAGGGUGACCGGCCACAUUGGGACUGAGACACGGCCCAGACUCCUACGGGAGGCAGCAGUGGGGAAUAUUGCACAAUGGAGGAAACUCUGAUGCAGCGACGCCGCGUGAGUGAAGAAGUAUUUCGGUAUGUAAAGCUCUAUCAGCAGGGAAGAUAAUGACGGUACCUGACUAAGAAGCUCCGGCUAAAUACGUGCCAGCAGCCGCGGUAAUACGUAUGGAGCAAGCGUUAUCCGGAUUUACUGGGUGUAAAGGGAGUGUAGGUGGCCAGGCAAGUCAGAAGUGAAAGCCCGGGGCUCAACCCCGGGACUGCUUUUGAAACUGCAGGGCUAGAGUGCAGGAGGGGCAAGUGGAAUUCCUAGUGUAGCGGUGAAAUGCGUAGAUAUUAGGAGGAACACCAGUGGCGAAGGCGGCUUACUGGACGGUAACUGACGUUGAGGCUCGAAAGCGUGGGGAGCAAACAGGAUUAGAUACCCUGGUAGUCCACGCCGUAAACG
rnacentral:rRNA from 1 species